AACGGCCAUACCAUGUUGAAUAUACCGGUUCUCGUUAGAUCACCGAAGUCAAGCAUCGUUGGGUGCGGUCAGUCCCACCGGUGGGUGAUCACCUGGGAACACCGCGUGCCGUU